rnacentral:rRNA from 1 species
CGCUUACUGCGCGGCGAAAAACCUUACACACUGUGUUUUUUGUAUUUACAUGAACAUUUGCUUUGGUCUGAUUCCAGAAAUGGUUUCGGGCCAGAGGUUAACCAAACUUCAAUUUUAUUGAAUUGUUUUCUUAAUUAUAAAGUCAAUUUGUUGAUUAAUUUCAAAAAUCUUCAAAACUUUCAACAACGGAUCUCUUGGUUCUCGCAUCGAUGAAGAACGCAGCGAAAUGCGAUACGUAAUAUGAAUUGCAGAUUUUCGUGAAUCAUCGAAUCUUUGAACGCACAUUGCGCCCUUUGGUAUUCCAAAGGGCAUGCCUGUUUGAGCGUCAUUUCUCUCUCAAACCCUAGGGUUUGGUAUUGAGUGAUACUCUUAGUCAGACUAAGCGUUUGCUUGAAAAGUAUUGGCAGGAGUGGUGCUGAAUAGUACUUCCAGACUUUCAAUGUAUUAGGUUUAUCCAACUCGUUGAACUGUCUCGCGGUAAAUUUUUAGUUCAUUGGCUCGGCCUUACAACACAACAAACAAGUUUGACCUCAAAUCAGGUAGGACUACCCGCUGAACUUAAGCAUAUCAAUAAGCGGAGGAAAAGAAACCAACAGGGAUUGCCUUAGUAACGGCGAGUGAAGCGGCAAAAGCUCAAAUUUGUAAUCUGGCACCUUCGGUGUCCGAGUUGUAAUUUGAAGAAGGUAACUUUGGCUUUGGCUCUUGUCUAUGUUCCUUGGAACAGGACGUCACAGAGGGUGAGAAUCCCGUGCGAUGAGAUGCCCAUUGCUAUGUAAAGUGCUUUCGAAGAGUCGAGUUGUUUGGGAAUGCAGCUCUAAGUGGGUGGUAAAUUCCAUCUAAAGCUAAAUAUUGGCGAGAGACCGAUAGCGAACAAGUACAGUGAUGGAAAGAUGAAAAGAACUUUGAAAAGAGAGUGAAAAAGUACGUGAAAUUGUUGAAAGGGAAGGGCUUGAGAUCAGACUGGUGCUACAUAUGUUUUGCUUUCGGGUGGGGCCUCUAUGUGGUAUCGGGCCAGCAUCGGUUUGGACGGUAGGAUAAUGACAUUGGAAUGUGACUUUGCUACGGUAGAGUGUUAUAGCCUUUGUUGAUACUGCCUGUCUAGACCGAGGACUGCGUCUUGA